GCCUGGGUAGCUCUGUCGGUUGAGCGUCUGACUUCAGCUCAGAGCAUUAUCUCACGGUUUGUGAGUUCGAGCCCCAUGUUGGGCU
rnacentral:tRNA from 1 species